GAUGAACGCUGGCGGCGUGCCUAAUACAUGCAAGUCGAGCGAACAGACGAGGAGCUUGCUCCUCUGACGUUAGCGGCGGACGGGUGAGUAACACGUGGAUACCCUACCUAUAAGACUGGGAUAACUUCGGGAAACCGGAGCUAAUCCCGUAUAAUAUAUUGAACCGCAUGGUUCAAUAGUGAAAGACGGUGUUGCUGUCACUUAUAGAUGGUUCCGCGCCGCAUUAGCUAGUUGGUAAGGUAACGGGUUACCAAGGCAACGAUGCGUAGCCGACGUGCGAGGGGGAUCGGCCACACUGGAACGUAGACACGGACCAUGCUCCUACGGUAGGCAGCAGUAUGGUAUGUUACGCAAUGGGCGAAAACCUGACGGAGCAACGCCGCGUGAGUUAUGACAGUCUUCGGAUCGUAAAGCUCUGUUAUGAGGGAAGAACAAAUGUGUAAGUAACUAUGGACGUCUUGACGGUACCUAAUCAGAAAGCCCCGGCUAACUACGUG
rnacentral:rRNA from 1 species